rnacentral:RNase_P_RNA from 1 species
GCAGAAGGGAGGUCUGUCGCUUCAUGCCGGGUGCAUGAAGAGGAAAGUCCGGGCAACCCAGAGCACCAUACUUGGUAACGUCAAGCCGGCGGCGACGUCGGGGACAAUGUGACAGAAAACAACCGCCCUCUGGCCUCAGGGCCUCAGGGUAAGGGUGAAAAGGCGGGGUAAGAGCCCACCGGAUGCCGUGGCGACACGGUAUGCCGCACAUCCUAUGGGUUGCAAGGCCAAAUACACCGGCAAUUAAGGGCUGCUCGUCCAUUGCCGGGGGGUAGGCUGCUCGGCGCUUCGGCGCCGGAGCCGUCUGGCGACAGACGGUCAAGAUAAAUGACAGACGGCGGUUCUCCUUCCUAGGAUAUCGCUACAUAACCCGGCUUACAUCCCUUCUGCAUUC